AGUUUAACUCCCGAGACACCGCUUUGCAUUUCAGGAUUUUUUUAGGAACUCGAGCUGUGAAACAGAUAGAGAAGCAUUAUUUGAAUGCAAUAAAACAAACCCAGCCGCCUCAGGCGCUAUUAUAAUAUACUUUGAAAUAAUGAUUAGCACUGGUGCAAGAGAAAUGCAAACACAAAGGACUUUGUUUUUACAUUUGCAGGAGUGAAAUCCAAGAUGCAAAUAGGUUGAGUACCUUGCCCAGAGGCAGGAAUGAAACUUGUGACAGUACCAGGGGUACAACACUGAUCUCUCAGACUCCUGGUUAAAACCCACAGGUCUUCAAGUUGAAAUAUGAGAUGUGACUUGAGUUUUUACUUUCCAAGCGUGCUGAGGAUCACUAGCGGCCAAAGGGCUGCUCAGUACACAAGUGAGUUUGCCCUUCUCGCUUCCCCUUCCCUUUCAGACUCUGCAUCCCCAGCAAACCACAAACGGUCGUUUCUCAGCCCAGCAGCACGUUUCAGCCACCUCACACGGCUCUGUAAAAGUGCACAAAAUGUCUGUUUGGGAGUGUUGAUUAAUACGCCGAAAGGUCCUAAUCAGGAGAAUACAGGGGAGAGUCAAUAUAGUAAAAAUCUCCCAAGCCUGUCGUGCUUCAGUGGUGUGAUUGUAUGUAACCCUUCCUCGGUAUUAGAAAAUGCUUCAUGUAAUUUUAUUAGAAAUAAAGAGGGGAGGGAAUACAGCUGGCAUGUGCUUUAUGAGCCAAACUGUUCUUAAAUGCAAAGUGUAUCAAAACAUCCGUGUUUAAUAAAAGGAAGAGUCUACCCAAGCUCAGGAGAACACCUCUGAUGUAGAACAGUUUAAUGGAGCAGGAGGCUGACACGACACCAGUCUAGAGAGCUGGAGGGUUAGGGAGCACAAACUGCUGUCCUAUCCUAUAGCAAAAUACACAGCCCACGGUUUGUUUUAGUAAAAAAUAAAGGUAAAGAAAGGAAGUUAAAAGUGUAAGGGAAGAGUUUUAAAUGUAAAAGCUAAUUAUUUUUAGUCUUCUUUACUUUCAGCAUAGAGAUCUGCGUGGCACCAUCCUGCAUGGCAGCAAGGACAGACCACACCUGUUGUGAAUAAACAUCCUUUUGCAAGAGAAGAGAAAGAAGUUUGAUUCUCAUCAGUUAGGACCAUUUUAAAACAGGCUGAAAUGCAGGUUAUUGUGGUGGAAGCCUCUGAAGGUGUCCAGUCACAACCAGGAUGUGUCCUUCAAAGCAGGGGUUCACUCGCAGCUCUGAUGACCCAGACACACAGCCACCCAGCUCCAAAAUGUGCACGGUACCUUCAUGCUCCACUCCAGGUACAGACAGAUCUUCUGUUCCUUGCCAGAGGAUUUUCCCUGUUUCCGCAUCCCGAAGGUUCAUCCAGUUUCUGAUUGGGAAGCAAUUAAGGAAAACAAGCUAUCUGCAUCCCUAAAUGCUGCGCCUACUAUUCUUUGCUAAGCCCUGAAAUAGGUGAGUAGCUGAGUUUCAGUUGUGUUCUGUGAUUCUCAGGAGGCAAAUGAAAAGACACACUUUUUCCCAGAAAAUAAAUGAACAAACCAACCCUUGAGUAGAAUGAAUGCAACAAGAGUUGUAUAGUCACAGAUUUCGUUUUCAUAUUAGGCUGAAGCUUGUUAACCUCAUUUAUCAUUUUCUGCUGCUUCCAGAGGAUAAAGGCAAUGUCACUGUGCUGCAGAGAAGCAAGACCAUUGCUAACAGAUAAUUCUACACAAACUAUUGCUGUUCUCCAGCAGUUGAAAAAUGCUAGAAAAAGAAGUACUCCCUAUAUAACAUGGGAAAAAGAAUAGCACCCGAUUGAGCUUGUUUUCCUAGCUUACAAAAUAUGAAUAUCAAGGGUUGUUCCACUGCUGUUGACCUGGUAACUGCCACUCAUGGGAAUUCUUCAGCUGCCGAGUGCUAAGCAAAGAGAGCUCCUCUCUCUUUGCCCUCAGCAAGUGAGGCUGUGCUGGCUUUCAAAAAGCCCAGAUCAGUGAAUCAGUCCUUAAAUUUAUAGACAAGUAGGAAACACAUUUUCAAAGAGACAAUUAAUAAUGAUCUUAAGCACACCUUUGACAUAUCUCUACCAUAGCGUAACUCAGACAUCGACACAUCAGAAGGAGCCUGCACGAUGCCGCCUUGAACAGGGAUGCAGCCAUCGCUGAACCAGCAUCCUGGGCCACAGCUCGUCAAGCAGCCAAAUAGAGUAGGAUUUGUGAGAUAAGGCCACACAAACCAUCACCUUUCCAGGUAUCUCCUUUUGCUGGUUUAUGGCAGUGCACUCAGUACUCAGUACUUCUAAAGAUACUGGAAACUAUCUGGGAGAAGGGAAGACCAACUGCUUGAGGAACUGAUUGGGGAGGUAGAGAAACAGAAGAGGGACAAUAUGGACCUUGAUGUAGGUAUAAAUAGGAGCUGUCAGAGAUAUGCAUAUUGAACUCAUCCUCUAACAUACACAGUUUCCAGGCAGACUCACACAAACUUGUCACAUUGAUCACAUUUUUCCAGAGCUCCAGGGAAGAAACAGAUGCUUUAGCAAAUUUUGCAUUACAGGGUAAGAUUUGUUUUAAAAUUAUGUGUGUGGAGGAGGGAACGGAAGAUGGUUGCUUCAGUGCAGAUGUGAGGAGCCUUUUCUUUCCUGAAGACUGGCCAAACUUUCCAUGUCCCACUGAAAGGACAAGAGGGAGGAGAAAGGUGUGACCAUGGAGUCUCUUUACACAGGCAAGGCCUUACAGCUUCCAAAACUUGGCAACAACUUGAACUACGGGAAGAGGGAGCAUAGGGCAGCCUGCUUAUGUCCUUCUAGACUUGUUCUAAAACACAUAAUAGCUACCACUUGCUCUGGGAUUAGGGCAAAAGUGAAAGGGGGAGAAGACGGAAAGCAUCAUGUUUGGAGGGCCCCGUAUGCCACCUCUAUAUCCCAGCAGAAAGCUGGAAAGCGGAGAUGUGUCCCCGACUACCAGAGCAAGGGAAACGGGGGCUGUAGGCAGGCAGGACACAGAAAGAAAGUGAGCAGCAGUGCGGACAGGAGAACCUGCCGCGGGGCCAGACACUUCAUGUGGUGCUGGCUGGAAACUGGGAAAAAAAGUCCCCAGCCAACACAACCCACAGGAUGGAACCUCCCCAACCGUAAUUUAAAAUGUCCAAAAAAAUCCACCAUUUUUAGAUACAUCUUCCGACAGACAAACAUACAAACUAGUCAGGGUGAGGCUAUUUGCAUAGAAAGCAGUGUGCAGUCUAUCGAAUGCCUUGUAUGAGGGGAAAAUAACAAAUGAAACAAUCGGAGCAUUUCACUGACAAAUUCAUUUAUCUUCACAACACCUGGCGAUGCAAACUACUAGCAGUACAGUAAUUCAGUAUGUUGGGCACUUGAUUAUCAGAAAGUUAUACUAGCUUUAAAAAAAUGAUCCCCUUCAGAAGUAUUUACUUGCUAUUUGUUCACUAUCAAUAUCAGUGGGAUUUCUGAGCGAACAGGUCUGGCCAUAGGCUGGGUGGUACCAAACUGAGCUGUGUUUGGGUUCCUCUGAAUGGGAAACACUACCUAGAACAGCAAACCCAGCUCUGCACGAGAGCCGAUCCAGCCUCCCAAGCGGUGCACCGGUGCUCUAACUAAUGCACCCUCUUUCUUUUUCCUUGCCAUGCUGUGCGUUACCUUCCCGUUCCUCUUCCUUUAUUGGCUUUUGGAGUAGUCUGAAAUCACAUUUGCCAUUUUCUAAAGUAUUACAUCAGAAAUGCCCUUCAAAGAGUAUACGUAGCCUCACAGCUUAAUAAUUGUCCUUGCUUGAAAUACAUAGUCACAGGGUGACAGUGACCUACUAUUUCUGGUGAGAGAAAACGCCACUGUAGACUACAGACUUCUGUCGCUUCUCCCCAAUCAGGGUUUAUUUCUCAAUCCAGUCGUGCUGGACAAUGCUGUAUGUGUGAACAUUUGGGAUGUUAGACUUCUAUAAAGCGCCAUCAGACUUUAUUCUGUAUUGAUGUUCCACUGUAAGAGUAAAGCCAUGCAGGACAGCCUGCCCUGUGCUUUGUAUUCUGACUGUCGAAUUAAAGAUGAAGGAUAAAUAAAAAGCUCAGGACUGUGUCCCUGCUGGUGAGAGCACGUAGGUCAGCAAUAGAUGCCUCAAUUCCUAGAAAAUGUCUUGUAUUUAAACAAUCUAGACACUGCUAACCCAUGGAUAUUCCACAUCAAAUGAAGAAAGGUUUAGUGUCAGUGUAGCCAAAGGCUUUCUGGUCUAGCAGACACACGUGCAGAUUGAGAACACGUUUUCCAGCUUCUGCAAGUAGAAAAAUGAAAUCAACCUGCUAUUCAGAGUGUGCACACAGAGUUAAAAUAUGUGGGUCCAGAUAUAUUUUAAGGGGUCAGAAUACUCCAGCCAGUUCAUAAGUUUUGUUUUCCCAGUAACUAAGCAUUAUUAAAAGGGAAGAACAAAUGAUCAAAUCUUACAAGUGCACACACACAAUCCUCUUCUACUGGUAAAAACACUUCACGUUCAGGAGACUCACUCUUUUAAAAAAUAAAUGUUUAAAAAGAAAUAGGCAUCUGAAAAAAUUUCCUAAGUCAAACUUGAGAUCAUUUAUAAAACUUAACUGUAAUGGAAUUUAAAAAAAAAAGGGCAAAACCCAUCACAAGUGAUUUUUUGGCAAGGGAACACCUGACAAAGCAGCAGCUGUACCGCUUACCUAGUUAGCAGCUUAUCACACUAUUUCUGUCAUCUUGGAUAGAAAGGCUGGUACUAGGACAUACCCCAGAGUGAAUAAAAUGGAGAUCUCGAACCAAACCCACACACACUGUUAUCUUCUAAUGUGUUUAAUUGGUUUAAGAUUCUUCCAUCCCAGCAUGAGAGAUAUCGUUACUAAAAAUAAAAAGUGCUCCAUCUUCGGAGCAGCAGUGGAGACCUGCAGGCAGGAUGAAGAGGGCAUUUUGAGUAUUAUUGAAAAGGAGAAAGUAAAUUAAUAUAGGUUUAACACAAUUACUCUUUUUGAAGAGGCUCAUGUCAAGCCACCUGGCAGGGGUAGCGAAGGAGAGUAAGGAGAGAGCCAGGCAGAUACAGCUUUGUGAAGUGAAUAUAUAUGAAAAAAAAAGGAAGAACAAUAGUUUAUUCUUAAUUCAGCUUCUCAUUUUAAAAUCACAAGAACGCUCUUACACCAUUAAGUUUUCAUUCUCCUGGAUUUUGGCCCCCCCCCUUUUUUUUUUUUAGGAAAUAAUGUCUGAUUUAAGACUCAAUAGAUCAAAUACUCUUCAAUCCUGAAGGCAAGGAAGGAUUAGGUAGAAGAGCAGAAGGAAGGGUGUAGUGUUGAUCUAUUUAUAUUCCACCACCUAUUGGGUCAGCAAAGUCUUACAUAAAAGCUUUGUAGUAGCUGGAAUUUGACUUGCUUUAUAUACAUGACAUGAAUUAGCUUCCUCACAGACCUACUUUGCUCAGCCCGAUGAAUGGAAAUGGUUUGUGCAUUUCUAAAUCCAAGUUUUGUUGUCUUGAAUACCUCUGAUGUCAGAACAGAAAUCCUUUCUUUUUAGUAUCUGUCAUAGACAUCACCUCACUCAAACAAAUCAAAAUAUACACACUUAUCUUUAAGUGCUUUAGCAUUGCAAAAGAUUCCUGUGUAUUACCACAGUGGUAAUUAAGAAUAACCUUGAAGGAAGAGAAUGGGUAUAAACAAAACUAACCAUUAAAGUAUUAUGGGAUUAAAGACGUUCUGCCCCACUCUCCCUGACUAUUAUUUGUAUGUUGCAAUGUUUAGCACUUUUGAAUAUCUUAAAGGCUGCAGCAACCAGCAGGUGCCUUUCCUUCCACUAAAUGGUCCAUUUUUCAUUAUAUUCCUUGCCGUUUACACUGUUCUAAACCCUUAGGAACUGGUGCUCUCUUGCUUUUCAUAAUAAAAGCAAGCCUAAUGUUCAUAACCACUCCUGGAAGGGAAGGUUUGCCAGAUCAUCUUUGCCAGGUUAUUAUUUUUUACGUGAAAUUCAGUAUUAAGAACAAUUCACUACAAGCCAGGUGCAAACAGGAUCUCAGCUAUUGCAUGUUAAGAAUUGUCCUAUGGGCCAAACGACAAAGAGAAGGUGGAGAAGGGGAGCUGAAAGCCCUGAACCAUCCAGACUUAAUCUCUGUUGCAGACCAAGAAAGGCUUCUGAUCUGGACAGCCCAACUUUCACUCCUGAUUCCACAUCACCUGUUGUGAAAAGCAGACACAACCAGGCACUCGUGACACGGUCAGCUAAAGCCUUCAUAUCAACUGCAUUUUCCUGGAGAACCAGACACAUGUUUUGGUAAACCUAGCAAUGGAAUGCAAACUUAUUGAUAAGCACGGAUGGACAUCUCGGGAGAGGGGCGACGAGAAACAAGAGACCAAGAAACUGACCAACUGUGCAUAACAUUCCAUUCACGUGAAUACUUCAUAUAAAAGUGCGAGAUCACGAGGAUCUCGUCCCUUUUUCCCUUUUCCCUUCUGCUUAUGGCCGACAUUAGGAGAGGACCUUGCUAGUCGUCCCUGCAAACUGAGGCCUAGUGAGAGACUGAAUCCAGCUCCG